GUGCUCGCUUCUGCAGCGCAAAGACUAAAAUUGGGACGAUACAGAGAAGAUUAGCAUGGCCCCUG
rnacentral:snRNA from 1 species